GCUUACGGCCACACCGGCCUUGAGUACGCCUGAUCUCGUCCGAUCUCGGAAGCUAAGCAGGGUCGGGCCUGGUUAGUACUUGGAUGGGAGACCGCCUGGGAAUACCAGGUGCUGUAAGCU
rnacentral:rRNA from 1 species